rnacentral:lncRNA from 1 species
ACAAUUUAAAAACUCUCAUUAAAUAUUUUGUACUUAUUUUCAUUAGAACUGUUAACUAAAAUUUGUAUAUCCCGACUAUGUUGUCUAGUCUUAACAAGAUUAAAAAUGGAUAUUAACAUACCUGAUCACAAACUGGAGAAACCUGUGGGGUGAGAUUUUCGUCAAACUUGGAAGUCUUGUCCUAAACAUGCUCAUUAAUUAGUGAGAAAAUUCAUGAGUGACAGAAAGGACUAAAAGUUACUGGAAAUAUUUUGAACAGCUAAAGCAUUUGCAGAGGCAAAUUCAAACAGAAGCAAAAUGUACUAUAGAUUAACAAAGCUUAAAAUGAACCAUCUCACCUCAGAAAUUGGUUUCUCUUCCUCCCCAUGAGACUCAGGUUUUCUUGAACACUUGUGAGCACCAUUCUGAACCAUCUGCAAUUACAUAAAGUAACAUAAGUUUAAGAAUGCAUAGUAAAACAAAAAUUAUUAGCUGAAAUUAUAAAUAUAGAAGCAAGGGGAAAAUAAGGAUAAACAAAAAGAACGGAAGGCCCACCCUAAGUAUUUCUUCAUCCUUCCACGGGCCCUUAUCGGAGCGCAUACAGCCUCCUUGAUCAGUACAUGUACAGGUACCUCCUAAAAUCUCUGGUAGUUCACUGGCAACGCAAAAGCAAUGGGCAGGUGAAGCUUAUCAAAUACCUUCCGUAAAUGUUAUAGGAAGACUUGAUGAAGAAAGAAAAAUGUGAUAUUUAACCAAUUCAUGAACUUACCUGGCAUCAAUUAUUUCAAGCAAUUUAGUAUCAUACUUGUUGCCAAGGACCUGACAAAUUAUAAGUUUCAGUAACAUGAUUGAUAAUUUUAUUUGCCUAAUAAAACAAGCAUAUUUAGAAUAAGGUCUCACAUUAAUUUUUGCUGUGGUCUUAGGAUCAAGGAAGGAUUUUACGGUGUUCCACAGUAUUCUAAAUCCAGAACCU